ACUCAAAUGAAUUGACGGGGGCCCGCACAAGCAGCGGAGCGUGUGGUUUAAUUCGAUGAUACGCGAAGAACCUUACCUGGGUUUGACAUAGAAGUAGUAGCAAGGUGAAAGCUGCGCGACCCUUCGGGGAGCUUCUACAGGUGCUGCAUGGCUGUCGUCAGCUCGUGUCGUGAGAUGUUGGGUUAAGUCCCGCAACGAGCGCAACCCUCGUCGUUAGUUACAAGUGUCUAACGAGACUGCUGGUUUCAAACCGGAGGAAGGUGGGGAUGACGUCAAGUCAGCAUGGUCUUUAUAUCCAGGGCUACACACACGCUACAAUGGCCGGUACAAUUGGUUGCCACACCGCAAGGUGGCGCUAAUCCUCAAAGCCGGUCUCAGUUCAGAUUGUCGUCUGCAACUCGACGGCAUGAAGGCGGAGUUGCUAGUAACCGCGCGUCAGCCAUAGUGCGGUGAAUGCGUUCCCGGGCCUUGUACACACCGCCCGU
rnacentral:rRNA from 1 species